GCGGCGGACGGGUGAGUAAUGCCUAGGAAUCUGCCUGGUAGUGGGGGACAACGUUUCGAAAGGAACGCUAAUACCGCAUACGUCCUACGGGAGAAAGCAGGGGACCUUCGGGCCUUGCGCUAUCAGAUGAGCCUAGGUCGGAUUAGCUAGUUGGUGAGGUAAUGGCUCACCAAGGCGACGAUCCGUAACUGGUCUGAGAGGAUGAUCAGUCACACUGGAACUGAGACACGGUCCAGACUCCUACGGGAGGCAGCAGUGGGGAAUAUUG
rnacentral:rRNA from 1 species